CUGCUUUUGCUGCUGCUGCUGAUCAAUCCCCAUGCCUGGAGUCGAUCUCCUGCAGAGGAAUCGACUCACCUGCUGCUCAUCUGCUUAUCAGAAGUGAUUUUAACUCGCCUCACUCCUUCCACAGACCAUGGAGUCUGGCUCUUCCCAAAGUCCCUGAGCUGCUCAGGUUCAGUUGCAUUUCUUAACAUCCUGCUCAGUGUUUUGAUUCAUAGAUUUUAAAACAACAUUGAGGAAGUAAAUAUUUGCUUCAUUAUAAAUUUACUCUGGAGUGUAGUUGGUUCAAAACAUGUCUGCAUUUAGGGUUUUCACAUAUAAUUAAAUUGAGUUUCAUAUUAAUUAUGUUUCAAUGUCUGAUAUGGAGUUAAAAUAUACAGGGACAUUCUUUUUCACAAACUACUAAUACCUGCAGCUGCAACUGAAAAGAGGUCACUGAGAGUAUUCAGAUUUAUGAAAAUCAACAGCAAAGUGGAUUAUUUUCACGAAGCAGUUUCCCUUAGAGAUCCUUAAAAUGCUGCAUCAAGAAGAGCACUUUUUUAACAUAGCACUUAAAAAUCAUUAGACUAAUCCCUGUUCAGAAGUAAGAUCAAAAUAUUGUUCGCAGUAUUAAAAUUAGCUUUUAACUACAUGCACACGCUUGAGGGGUUAGUGGCAUAAGCCUAAAUCAGGCCUGUUGUGCACUGGUUCUGCUUUUUUAUAUUGAAUGUUUUAAUUGGCAGGUAUGAUAUUUCUGUUUGUGUGAACUUGGAGUCAUAGUUUUCUUAUUGUGAAUAUGUUCUCCUGCUUAAAGAAAGUUAAAGUCUUUAAAAUAUUAAAUAUCAAAUGUUAAAUCCUUCAUUGACAAAUUCUCCACUGCACUGAUUUACAAUAAAAGGAAGCUUUUAUAUUGUAAAAUGAAAAUGUGAGGCGUAAUUGUUAGCACUUUGACCUCAGUAAUAAGACGCAGGCCUUUGUGUAUUGUGUUUUCAUUUGUUUUCUGUGGAUGUCACAGUUUUCUCAGACGACUCCAGUUUCACAGUGUAGUGUAAAAACAAUCAUUAGUGCUGGAAGUGAGUAAGGGAGCUGACUGGGGGCUAUAGUUUCGUGUUGCUGAUGGACACAGCAGUGUAAUGCAGCAGGAUGUUUUCGCUCAGAGUAAACAGCAAACCAGAGAAGAACAUGACAUGUUUUCUUAAGCUGAGAUGUUAACACUGUCGUAGUUUUAGACAUUUACUAUGGAUGUGAAUGCCAGAGUCACACUUUGCUGCAGGUAACCAUGGCUUAUGUUUAAACCUUUACUCAUCACUGUUUCUAAAAUAAAAAAUAAAAAAAUCAUCUAAAUAUAAAGUGAGUUUUUCCU